GGAGGCGGAAGUGACUGAUCAAUUCAGGGGCGUGGGGUUCGUUUAGGUUUUGCCCUGUGUAUGACCUCGUUUGGAGCCAUGAAACCAGGUGGCUUUUCUACAAUAUAAAGAUGGAAAUGGGAAGAAGAUGUUCAUUGCAAAUUAAGGAAGCUCUUCCACGAGUUCACGAAUGGAAAUAACAUCAAGAGUUUUUCAUCUUCUUAGUGUGCAAGGUAUGGAUAUUCUGUGUGUGAACUUCAAGAGUAUCUAAGGGAGGCAAUAACAUGGUUGAUAAUAUACCAGAGACUACAAACUGUCUGUGCAUCCCAGAGGAACAGGAAGCUUGUGCAGGUGAAAAGACUGGAGGAGGAAGUAUGUUGAUGAUACCCAGGAAGCCCACCUUCCACUUCUUUGGUCAUCAGAAAUGUCUGAGGAAUAGUCUUAGUGGAUUAUCCCAAACUUGACACAUUUUUUGCAAAAUGCUAUACAAAAAGAAGAUACAUGCGAUUAUGACAAGAUUCUCCACUUGGUGUGACCAGUCUCAUACAACCCAAGGCUGUGUGUCCAAAGGCAACUGUACUGCACAUGACAGAAUUGCUCUGUUGAAGUUUUGCAAGGUCAAAUGACUCACUUUGUCUAAUGGAACGGGAACGAACAAUUUUUUUGUGUCACGUUUGAACAGAUACCUUUGAGAAGUUUAUGAUUCUCCAAGUUCUCUUUCUCCUACUGUGGCACCUACUGACAAGAUAAAUGUGUAGAGGUUCCUGAGUCUAGGGGUGAGUCUUGCAUAUCUGAUGAAUCCACCAGUAAAAGUACCACUGCUGAAAUCACGCAAAUAUAUUUUUUUAGACCUUAUCAACCUUGGCAUGGAAUUAGAUGAGCAAAAAGCUGAGUUGAAUUGAUGAAAAGAAUCCCAAGUCAUUAAUUACUAAUGAUGGAGCUUGUAAAGUACAGCAUCACUGGGGAAAGCAACUGACUUUCCUCAUACACAUUAUAUUUUUAUCUGAAUUUCAAUACUGCUUAAAUAUGUACUUCAUUACAGGGCACAACUAAAAUAGAAGGGCACCUGCUAAGUCAGAGCCAUAAAACAGAUCUACAGCCUGCUGGCAUGUGAAAUUUCUCUAAUUUAUAUUUUUUAUGAAACUACCCUCACAUUAUGUGGUUGGCAGCAUAAAUAAUAAAGCAUGUUACUGAAGCAAUUUUACAUUUACUGUAUUAGUAAGUAAAUGCAAUGGCCACUCUUAUUCUCAAAUAAAAACUACCCAGCCUUUUCAUGAAAGAUGUUUGCAAUUUCCAUUGGCCUGUAUAUGCAAUAAAAAGCCAUAACUCAUCAAAAUUUCAGCUAUUUUCUCUUAAGAUAGAAGAGCAUUUUGCUUGAACAUUGAACGU
ensembl:lncRNA ZRANB2-DT ZRANB2 divergent transcript